UACAGAGGUCCCAAGCGUUGUUCGGAUUCAUUGGGCGUAAAGGGUGCGUAGGUGGCGCCGUAAGUCGGGUGUGAAAUUUCGGAGUUUAACUCCGAAACUGCAUUCGAUACUGCGGUGCUUGAGGACUGGAGAGGAGACUGGAAUUCAUGGUGUAGCAGUGAAAUGCGUAGAGAUCAUGAGGAAGACCAGUGGCGAAGGCGGGUCUCUGGACAGUUCCUGACACUGAGGCACGAAGGCCAGGGGAGCAAACGGG
rnacentral:rRNA from 1 species